rnacentral:rRNA from 1 species
UACAGAGGUCCCGAGCGUUGUUCGGAUUCAUUGGGCGUAAAGGGUGCGUAGUCGGCUUCCUAAGUUUGAUGUGAAAUCCUGGGGCUCAACCCUGGAACUGCAUUGAAUACUGGGAGGCUAGAGUACUGGAGAGGAAACUGGAAUUUACGGUGUAGCAGUGAAAUGCGUAGAGAUCGUAAGGAAGACCAGCGGCGAAGGCGAGUUUCUGGACAGUUACUGACGCUGAGGCACGAAGGCCAGGGGAGCAAACGGG